AUCCAGCUGACGAGUACCAAAUAGGAUGAAACGCGAGUCUUGGAU
rfam:Schistosoma curassoni strain Dakar, Senegal genome assembly, scaffold: SCTD_scaffold0020396